rnacentral:rRNA from 1 species
AGAGUUUGAUCCUGGCUCAGAUUGAACGCUGGCGGCAGGCCUAACACAUGCAAGUCGGGCGGUAACAGGGAGAAGCUUGCUUCUCUGCUGACGAGCGGCGGACGGGUGAGUAAUGUAUGGGGAUCUGCCUGAUGGAGGGGGAUAACUACUGGAAACGGUAGCUAAUACCGCAUAAUGUCUCCGGACCAAAGCGGGGGACCUUCGGGCCUCGCACCAUCAGAUGAACCCAUAUGGGAUUAGCUAGUAGGUGAGGUAACGGCUCACCUAGGCGACGAUCCCUAGCUGGUCUGAGAGGAUGAUCAGCCACACUGGGACUGAGACACGGCCCAGACUCCUACGGGAGGCAGCA